UUUUGGCUGUGCUUUGUGAUCGUCUGUUGAAGCACCGUUUCACCAUGGGGCGGUAUGCGAGCUUUACUGCCGCGUUCAAGCUGAAGGCGCUUGAUUAAGCGCUAGAGCACGGAAACCGUGCUGCCGGCAGACAUUUCGGCGUCGACGAAAUCCGGAUCCGAUAUUGGAAAAAACAGCGCGAGAAGCUCAUGGCUAUGAACAGCAUGCGCCGGGCUUUCCGCGGACCCAAAACGGGCAAGUUCCCUGACAUCGAAAAGGCAGUCCUCGAAUACGUGAGGGACAUGCGCAAAGACGGUUGUGCCGUGUCGCUAGACAUGGUACGGAUGCAGGCGCGCACAGUUUCCCGGAGGCUGGGAAUAGCCACAAAGGACUUCCGCGCCAGUUCCGGCUGGACGACACGCUUCAUGCGGCGGAAUGGACUAAGACUGGCAUUUCCAACGCGCUCGACGGGACAGAAGAUGACCGUCUGUGGGACAGUGAAGACACUGCCGAUUCCGACAGGGAAUCGUGCGGCGACGACACUGACGCCAGUGACGCUUCGGACUCAGAAUGAACGUUAGGGGGUCAGAGAGUUCAAAAAUAAAAGGGCAGUGUUCCAUGCAUGUA